GACGAACGCUGGCGGCGUGCUUAACACAUGCAAGUCGAACGGAAAGGCCCUGCUUUUGUUGGGUGCGCGAGUGGGGAACGGGUGAGUAACACGUGAGUAACCUGCGCUUGACUUUGGGAUAACUUCAGGAAACUGGGUCUAAUACAGGAUAGGAGCUCGUGCUGCAUGGUGGGGGUUGGAAGGUUGCGGCGGUUGGGGAUGGACUCGCGGCUUCUCAGUUUGUUGGUGGGGUAGUGGCUUAGGAAGGCUUUGACGGGUAGGCGGCCUGAGAGGGUGACCGGGCACAUGGGGACUGAGAUACGGCACAGAGUCCUACGGGAGACAGCAGUGGGGAAUAUAGCACGAUGGGCGGAAGCCUGAUGCAGCAACGCCGCGUGCGGGAUGAAGGCCUUCGGGUUGUAAGCCGCUGGCGCCUGUGACGAAGGGGGAUUGACGGUAGUGGGUAAAGAAGCACCGGCUAACUACGUG
rnacentral:rRNA from 1 species